rnacentral:rRNA from 1 species
UACGUAGGGUGCGAGCGUUUGUCCGGAAUUAUUGGGCGUAAAGAGCUUGUAGGCGGUUUGUCGCGUCUGCCGUGAAAGCCCAGGGCUUAACCCUGGGUCUGCGGUGGGUACGGGCAGACUAGAGUGUGGUAGGGGAGACUGGAAUUCCUGGUGUAGCGGUGAAAUGCGCAGAUAUCAGGAGGAACACCGAUGGCGAAGGCAGGUCUCUGGGCCACUACUGACGCUGAGAAGCGAAAGCAUGGGGAGCAAACAGG